CUGGAGGACCCCAAGGUCCCCAAGACCAUGUCCCCAAGGUCCCCAAGGUGGUGGCCUCGGGGGUCCUCAAGCUGGGGGACCCCAAGGUUCUUGUCCCCGAGGUCCCCAAGGUCCCCAAGGUGGCAUCUCCUGAGGGUCCUCAAGCUGGAGGACCCCAAGACCAUGGACUCCAAGGUCCCCAAGACCAUGUCCCCAAGGUCCCCAAGGUGGUGACACCAAGGUCCUGGAGCUCAUCAUGUCCCUGGUGUCCCCAAGGUGGUGGCCCCUUGGGUCCAGGAGCUGGGGGACCCCAAGGUUCUUGUCCCCGAUGUCCCCAAGGUCCCUGAGGUGACGUCUCCUGGGGGUCCUCAAGCUGGAGGACCCCAAGGUCCCCAAGGUGGCAGUUCCUGGGGGUCCUGGAGCUGGAGGACCCCAAGACCAUGGACUCCAAGGUCCUGGAGCUCAUGUCCCCAAGGUCCCCAAGGUCCCCGAGGUGGUGGCCUCUUGGGUCCUCAAGCUGAUGGACCCCAAGGUUCUUGGCACCGAUGUCCCUGAGGUACCCAAGGUGGAGGACCCCAAGGUCCCCAAGACCAUGGACUCCAAGGUCCUGGAGCUCAUGUCCCCAAGGUCCCCGAGGUGGUGGCCUCUUGGGUCCCCGAGCCCAUGUCCCUGGAGUCCAGGAGGUGACGUCCCCGAGGUGGUGACACCAAGGACCUGGAGCUCAUGUCCCUGGUGUCCCCAAGGUGGUGGCUUCGGGGGUCCUGCAGCUGGAGGACCCCAAAGUCCUGGAACCCCUGUCCCCAAGGUCCCCGAGGUCCCCAAGGUGCCCAAGGUGGCAGUUCCUGGGGGUCCCCAACCUGGAGGACCCCAAGACCAUGGACUCCAAGGUCCCAGAGCUCAUGUCCCCAAGGUCCCCAAAGUCCCCAAGGUCCCUGAGGUCCCCAAGGUGGCAUCUCCUGAGGGUCCCCAACCUGGAGGACCCCAAGACUGUGGACCCCAAGGUCCUGGAGCUGGUGACCCCAAGGUCCCCAAGGUCCCCAAGGUGGUGGCCUCAGGGGUCCUCAAGCUGGUGGACCCCAAAGUUCUUGUCCCCGAGGUCCCCGAGGUGGCAUCUCCUGGGGGUCCCCAACCUGGAGGCCCCCAAGGUGGGGGAGGACCCCAAGGUCCUGGAGCCCCCAAGGUCCCCCCGAGGUCCCUGGUGUGGGGGGUGGGGCCUCGGGGGGGUCCCGGAGCUGGUGG
rnacentral:lncRNA from 1 species